rnacentral:rRNA from 1 species
GUGUCAGCCGCCGCGGUAAUACGGAGGGGGCUAGCGUUGUUCGGAAUUACUGGGCGUAAAGCGCGCGUAGGCGGUUUGCCAAGUCAGAGGUGAAAGCCCGGGGCUUAACCUCGGAAUUGCCUUUGAGACUGGCAGGCUUGAGUACGGGAGAGGUAAGUGGAAUUCCGAGUGUAGAGGUGAAAUUCGUAGAUAUUCGGAAGAACACCAGUGGCGAAGGCGGCUUACUGGACCGUUACUGACGCUGAGGCGCGAAAGCGUGGGGAGCAAACAGGAUUAGAUACCCUGGUAGUCCACGCCGUAAACGAUGGGUGCUAGAUGUUGGGGGCCUUUGGCUUCCGGUGUCGCAGCUAACGCGUUAAGCACCCCGCCUGGGGAGUACGGCCGCAAGGUUAAAACUUAAAGGAAUUGACGGGG